rnacentral:misc_RNA from 1 species
AUUUUUUUAGUGCUCCUUAUGUACCUAAUAAUUAGCCAUUCAUAAUAGGCAUAAACUACAAUAGUAGCUAAUUCUCCUUUCUUUGUCCUUCAUAAUCUCAACAAUUCUAUCCAAUAUAUAAUGAUGAAUACUCAAAUCUAAAACCCCCAGUUUCUCGCAUGGUAGGAUUACAAUUAUAGCUAAUUGAAUUCUAAUAUAUAAUUUUCAUUCGCUUGAACUUCCAAAACUAUGAUCUCCCAAGAUUGAUACUCUGGCCACCAUUAGAAGAAGCAACAUUUGGAACAGAACUAAGGACUAAAGAUAGCUAACAAAACUUCACAUUGCAAGCGAAAACCAGCCACCCUGUUCUUAAAAACAGAGAAGAGCAUCCCAACUCUUCCCAAUUGAAUAUUAGGAGCAAAAACUAACAGGAGAAUAUUUCAUUCAUUACCUGCUUGAAGCAAUCUGUGGGUGGCAGACGCUGGAUAGGCAUCUGGUGGAUCAACAAUUGGAGAAGUAGAAUCUCUAUUUCUUCCACUGGAGGGCAUCUUUGAAAUGCAUGAAAAUAAGUUUUUCUCAUCAAUCCCUUGAUCAUAGAGGAAACCCUUAAAAACAUGGCCACUUAUGUUCACCAUAGCCUGGUAUGCAACCUCAGCUUCGCCACCAUUAAUGGUAGUUACUCUAACGCACCUGAAAACUGCUGGUGCUCGAAUUUGGCUUGGUAAGGACUGCUUGAAGCUUGCAUCCUGGUAAUUGGAGGCAUUGUCAAUACUGAAAGCAGCAGCAGCAUUGUUAUUAGAAAUGCUAAAACUAUUAGAUGUAGUGGUCACGUUCUCUCUUGGCCUUUUAUUACCACCAGCAGCAGAAGAAGAGCCGGAAGAGCCACCAGCACCGCCACCACCAUCAGUACCGUGCCUCUCUCGCCGCCUGGCCGCAGGAACCCACGUGCUCUUAAUGUGAGGGGCACAAUCAUACCCUCUACUCUUGCAACAAGUCCUACACCUUCUAUACUCGCACUCCUUCUUAGCUCUAUUUCCACAAUCUCUGCAAACUCUAGAAGAGGUAUUACUAUUUUCGUUAUCCUCAUCAACAUUUAAUGCAUCUCUUUUACCAAAGCUUGAUUCUUGCUGAUUAUAUCUCUUGAAAGUGGUCCAAGAAUCUUGAUUGUUUGGAAUGUUGCACUGGUCAUGGAUGGAAAUGGGUUGUUGGUCAGAGUGGUGAAAAGAAGAAGAAGGUGGUGGUGGAGUUAUGAGGAAGAUGUUGUGAAGGCCUAACAUGUUGGUUUGGUCAGGUGGGAAGGUGGCGGUGGUGGUUGGAGGAGGAGGUGGCCAUGUUUUGGUGGUGGUGAGAGUGGUACGAUUUGGGGUGGCCACUGUUGGUGGAUUGGAUUGAGAAAGGAUUUAUGUACAAAGAGGACAUGAAAAUGUAAC